AGGACUGUUGCUCCAUGGUAGAGUGUCUGCUUUGGAUGCAGAAGAUCUGAGAUCCAAUACUCAGCAUCUCUA